UACUUAAAAAAAAAAUUAUACCAAUUCUUUUUUUUUCUUAUUCUCUCUCUCUUUUCCGAUAAUAUAUAUCUGCAAGGCAAACACAUAGAUCGACCAUCAGUUUGAUUUUGGGAAUUAGGGUUUGAAUUACUGUUUAGUUAAGGUGCUAAUCCGACCAAAGUGAAGGAGCACCGUAACGGUGGCUGAGAGAGCAUAGUGAUCGGUGAGUGUGGCGGCCAAGCUGAUGAAGGUUUUGGAUCAACGGAAGUCCCGGUGGAGACGGAGAAAGCGUGGGAAGUAGUGCAAUCUCCAUUUAAGAAUUCGAUGAUGAUGGGUUUCAUGAUGUGGAUGGCUGGAAACACAGUCCAUCUAUUUAGCAUUGGUAUUACAUUCUCUGCUCUUUGGCAGCCUAUCAGCGCUCUCCAGAGUGUUGGAAAGAGUAAGAACCUUCUUUACAUUACUAUUAUUCAUCUUAGCCUUAUAUGCAAUUUGACGUCAUAUACUCACAAGUCUCACAUUAGUCAGCCCACAAUGGUAUGUACCUAUACAAGCCAAGUUCUCUACGGUAGUUGCUAGCUGGGGUGGUGAUCUUUUGGACCGUGUGGCAUUCUAUCACUCUCUCUUGCUCCAAGAGAUAACCAUGAAGCUCCGGUUCAGUUUGCUCUUGAAAGUGGGAUUCCUGCGAUUCUUCGCAUAAUCUCUACGCAACGCCUCCCCUUCCCUUGGGAUGCAUUUGAUAUGGCUCAUUGCUCGAGAGUCUUAUUCCCUGGACAUAAUUUGGUGGAUCUAUUCGACUCCUCCUGAUUCAAUCAAUUGCAUCAGACAGAGAGAACAUAGUGCACAGAUUUUUCUUCGUUUGAUGAUGAUACGAGAAGCAGAAAAGUUGGAAUAGAGAUGAAGAGACAGAAUAGGAGAGCAUUGGGUGUGGUGAUUAAACAGAAUCUCGUUGGUUCAAAAGCUUAUCCUUGCGUUGUUAACAAGAGAAGAGGCUUCUCUCAACUCAACCCUCUCUCUCUCAAAAUAUUUUUUUUUCAAAAUUAAGAACUCCAAUACAAGCUUCACCAUUGGAGAAGCAAAAUUUUAAUUACUCUU